UGCACGCAGAGUGCGUGGGCGUCCACGUGCGUCCGGGAAGUGAUUUGGCGACUCACUGCUUUCAACAGUACGAACGGUGCAAUAAGGAGGUCCUCCUGUGUUUCUUAUAAUUACGGAUUUUUCAUAACCCUUGAGUGACGUUGGCGAGUCUACGGACACGUGGCGGGUUCGAUGAAGGCAAGGAGGCAGGGAAGUGUCUGAAGGAGGCUGACGAGUGGGACGCAUGAGACAAACAACACCACGUGACGUGAAAUAAAAACAUUAAACAGCACGUGAAGCUCAGCCCUGACCGCGUAGGGUUUUGUAGUUUCGCGUUUGCGGUCGUUAGUCGCUGUGCUGUCAUGUGUACUUUCAGUUCGGACUUCGCGCAACUUUUCUCUUCGCCUCCGAACCAAGAAGAGGAUCGAGGAGGAACCGGGAACGCGGACAGCCACAGCGUCAAAAGAAAGAGAGAAUCUGAAGAGAAAGAGGUGAGAAAUAAGUCCAGGAAGAGUGUCGGGAGUGAUAAGCAGCAGCACUCUGAGGGGAACCAGAGAGACAGAUGCACACCCAGGAGGGGUCACACGCAGCAGCAAAUAGCACACCACAGUGGCUGCGCUGUGCAGAGGGUUCGGAACCAGGGACCCGGAGCUGUUGCCCCAGUAGGGCAUGGUCCACACCGCGGUAAAGAGCCUGCAAUGAAAGGUCUGCAGAAACAAGCGUGAGACUGAGAAUGUGAUGCAAACUGUGUGUUGGACAAAACUGUUGCUGUCAACAAUAAUGCCUAAAUUGCCCCCCCCCCCCCCCCCCCCCCCCCCAUUUUUUCACUGUGGUCAUAUAUGUGAUGUGUUUUUAUAAUGUAUAGCAAAAAUGUUAAUUU
rnacentral:lncRNA from 1 species